rnacentral:rRNA from 1 species
ACGGGAGGCAGCAGUAGGGAAUAUUGCACAAUGGGGGGAACCCUGAUGCAGCAACGCCACGUGUGGGAAGACGCAUUUCGGUGUGUAAACCCCUGUCGUGAGGGAAUAAGGCUACUUUCCGGAGUAGUUGAAUGUACCUUGAAAGGAAGCACCGGCAAACUUCGUGCCAGCAGCCGCGGUAAUACGAGGGGUGCAAGCGUUGUUCGGAAUCACUGGGCGUAAAGGGAGCGUAGGCGGAGACGCAAGCAGUCUGUACAAUACCGGGGCCCAACCCCGGACCUGCAGACUGGACUGUGUCUCUUGGAUAGUUCAGGGGCAGGCGGAAUUCCUGGUGUAGCGGUGGAAUGCGUAGAGAUCAGGAAGAACACCGAUGGCGAAGGCAGCCUGCUGGGGACUCAUCGACGCUGAGGCUCGAAAGUGCGGGUAGCAAACAGGAUUAGAUACCCUGGUA